rnacentral:lncRNA from 1 species
CAAAGAACUCAAUUUUAAGCACUCUGGAGUUGCCAAGCAUUGAGCUGGCCAUUUCUGCAUCUUCAAAGUCAAGAAUGUCAGAAAGCGGAUGCCCUCCGUCUGUGCACCUUCUCUUCCUUUCUGAGCUGCACAACAGGGCAAGCAAGAACGCUGCAGGAAAGAGAUGUUUUGCCUGAUGGGAAAUUCGCUCAUAGAGCAACGCUGCAGAGUUUGCAGCACAGAGGGACCUAGAUCAACACGACUGCCUGCUCUGCGAUCCAGCCCUGAGUUCUCCUCUCCCGCUAGCUGACUCUCAGGAUCAGGGCCGUUCGGAGCCCUCUUCAGGCAGGACUGGUUUGCUCUCAAUUGCACAUCAGUACAUUUUCAUUUCAGCUUUAAUUACAUCUUAUCUAUGAAGGUGUCAGUGACCCGUCUUGGCGGCCAAAGGAGGCAGGAAGGUACAAGACCAUCGCCAUCAACUAGAUUGCUUCUGAGUUUUUCCACUUUCGGAAACUCCCAGGUCUCACUUAGGAGCCUGCCUCAGGUGACUUGGAUGUACCUGGGCUCAUCUGCUUCCUCGGAGACCUCUCAGCAGAAGCUCAGGGUCCCCCACAGGGGUGGGAGGAGGGGGAAGCACCCAAAGCCUGGGACCUAGCCAUGCCAGGAGAAGAAUUCGGACAAGGGGCUCCCUGCCUGGGUCUGCCCUUGACAAGUGCGUACAACCUACGUGUUCCUGUGUGUGUUUCUGCGGUGUUCAAAAUCAGAACAGUCAAUUAAGAGUUUAUUAGUGAUAAGAUAAAAUACUAGAUACUUCAAGAGUACUUUCCAGUUUAUUACUCUUUCAGGGUGUAACGGAAAUAAGAAAGAAAUGGAGAAGAAGGGAGAGGAAAGCAUGGAAAGAAAGGACGCAUGUUUUGAGCAUCGACUGUGGACCUGGUGCUUCACAUACUUUGUCUCUCAUAAUCCUCCUAUUUGUCCUAGGUUGUCAUUAUUGUCCCGGAUAAGAAGGAAGGCGACUGCGGCUGAGCAUGGUCACGCAACUCGCACGUGGCCAGGGCUUCCCAGCAUCAGAGCUGGGAAUUGUCUUCUCUGGGCGUUUCACCUUUUUGCUGAGGUCUUGCCUCUGCCCUUGGCUGCUGUAACUAGACUGUCUCCCAACAUCCCAGCACCCACAGGGACGUUCAGUUCUCUGCAGAGAAGAACUCCUACACCAAGAAUGGCCAGUGCUGAAAGGCCAAGGGACCCAGACACACCAACGCCUACUGUCCAAGGACUUUCUGUCCCCGUGGCUGUUGCUCCACCACCUGUUCAAGGACACAGAAACAGUGUGGAGGCUUUUCAGUGAGUGAGUGGAGAAGGGCUUAGAAUUUCCAUCUUAGGAAUUUAGGUUUUAGGUUCAUAGCAGAAUUGAGGAAUUUCCUUUUCUCAUCAGGGUCGGAGAACCACACAUUCCCUGAUACCUCAAGGGAAAUCAAGCUUAAAUGACUCUAACAGGGGCUGGCCCCUUGGCUGAGUGGUUAAGUUUGCGCUCUCUGCUUCAGCGGCCCAGGCUUCACAAGUUUGGAUCCUGGGUGCAGACCUACACACCAGGCAUCAAGCCAUGCUGUGGAAGCACCCCACAUAGAAGAACUGGAAUGAAUUACAACUAGGAUACACAACUAUGUACUGGGGCUUUGGGGAGAAAAGAAAAAAAGAGGAAGAUUGGCAACAGAUGUUAGCUCAAAAGAAAAAAAACUUUAACAGAAAAAGAAGUGUCUAUGUUCCUCAGUUCAUGAAACUAACACGUCCUCAAAAAGGGAUGUAAAGAUGGAUUUCCCAAAGUUUUAUCUUAUUUUUAAUUCAUCACAAGAACUUUCUCUUUAAAGGUGUGUUUACUAUGUAAAAUAAGAAGCCAUUUGUAGUAUGAAUUUUAACUUCCUUAAUACCAAACCCUCACCACCAUCUUAUGUAUCUGUUUAGUAAAUCCCAGGGUUCUUUGGGUUUUCUUAGAGUGGAACACAUUCAAGUAAAAAUAUUUUUUAUCAGGAAAUGUUUGAAGGUGAUGGAUAUGGAUAUGGAUAUGGAUAUUAUUACCUUGAUUGUGGUGAUGGCAUCACAGGCAUACAAAUGUCCAAAGUCGUCAAAUUGUAUAUGUUAAAUAUGUGCAGUUGUCUGUAUGUCAAUUAUACCUCGAUAAAGCUAAAGUAAAAUAAGAUAAAGUGUUGUUUAUUAUUCAGCUCAGUUCAACGACCCUUUAUUGAGGGCCUGCCAGGAGGAGGGAACCACUGGGCUAAGAGUCAGAGAGGCAGAGGUGACUGUGGCACAGUCGUUGUAAGCUUCAUGGAGUUGGCAUCAUUAUUUUAUUCUCGCUGAAUGACAUAGUGGGCGUUGUGUCCUGACUAUGGAAAAGCUGGAGUUUUUUAAAGCAGUGCUGAAAGGGUUACAGUGGCAGUAAUUUUACAAACUAAUAAAAAUAAAUAUUGAC